AGGAAGUUAGUUUAAAUUUAUAACACAUAUUUGUCAUAUAUGAAUUGUCUUACAGACACUUCCUU
rnacentral:tRNA from 1 species